rnacentral:rRNA from 1 species
GACGAACGCUGGCGGCGUGCUUAACACAUGCAAGUCGAACGGAAAGGCCCUGCUUGCAGGGUACUCGAGUGGCGAACGGGUGAGUAACACGUGGGUGAUCUGCCCUGCACUUCGGGAUAAGCUUGGGAAACUGGGUCUAAUACCGGAUAGGAGCCAUCUUUAGUGUGGUGGUUGGAAAGUUUUUUCGGUGUAGGAUGAGCUCGCGGCCUAUCAGCUUGUUGGUGGGGUAAUGGCCUACCAAGGCGGCGACGAGUAGCCGGCCUGAGAGGGUGUACGGCCACAUUGGGACUGAGAUACGGCCCAGACUCCUACGGGAGGCAGCAGUGGGGAAUAUUGCACAAUGGGCGCAAGCCUGAUGCAGCGACGCCGCGUGGGGGAUGAAGGCCUUCGGGUUGUAAACUCCUUUCGCUAGGGACGAAGCUUUUUUGUGACGGUACCUAGAUAAGAAGCACCGGCUAACUACGUG